GAUGUUACAAGAGUCGUCUUCGUAUAGUGCGAAUAUUUACUUAGUUUUACAAAUAAAGAAUGCCAGUCUGUCCGUAACCUUCUACGUAAUGGAAAUUUUGAACACAGUUGCAUCAAGCGCAGCUGGUUGUAUAAUAUCAAUGAGUCGCGGCCUUGUCAAUGACGCAUCGAACAUUGAAUAAUAGUUUUUACUGACCGAAAUGCAUUCUCCUUUGAAAAGGCGGCAGCAAAAAACAUCAAACUAAUUGUGUAACGAAUUUAAACUUAUAACCUUUUCUUUAUUCUUAUUAAUUUUAAUUGUUUUUAAAACAAUACAGAACAAAUUGUCUUCUUAAUAAUUGCCGUUCGCGUUCUGAACGCAGACAUAAUGAGGUCGCUUUGUAUGCUUAUAUAAGUUCUGCUAUCAAAGAACAUUAUAUGCUAUGUAUAUUAUAUUAAUCUUAUACUUAUUAUAGUUUAGUUAAGUACUUUUGUAUUCGUUAUUGAGUUGCGAUUGUUAUCAAAACUUUCUACUUACUUUCUUUUUAUAAUGGCAUCAGACGGUUUUAUUAAUCAUGAAAAUAUCAAAUCUAGUUUGAAAAUCAAAGCGUAUACACAGGUGAAAUAUAAUAAUUAUAUUUUUUAUUAAAGCUUAUAUUAGACUAAGGUGUAUCAAUAUAGUGUUAAUCGUGUAUAACAUAAUACAUUUAAUUCAUUCAUAAAUAAAAUGAUGUGAUGAGAAUAAUAACUAAAAAUAAAAAUAAAUCUUUAAUAAAAUUAAGUUUCAAAUAAAGAGUUUUAAAUUCAUUAAAAUGUUAAAUGUAAAAUGAGUUUAAAAACUGUUUACUGUCAAAAACGAGUUUCGAUUCUUGUUAUUUAAUAGAAAAUGAACAUGAAAUAUCCGAUACAUGCCACUCCAAUACGCAAAUAUUGUGGUACCUUUCAUUGUUUACGACUUGCACACUGUGCAGGCUGAAGGUCCUCGACCAACAAAUUAUUUCAAUACAUACAUAAUAUACUUUGUGUAUCUUCCUUGCAAUUUGUUGGCUGCAACUAUUGUACGUGUGUAAUACCUAUUUGAAUUAAAAUAAUUAUUUUAUUCAGCUUUCAGUGAUAUUUACAAUUACAUAAUGCGAUUUUUCUUUCACUCAGAAUUACUAACGUAAAAUCGUUUUGCUAUAUUGAUCUAUCUGAAAUAAUGGUCCUACAGAACAAAGUCAUGUGAAAAUAAUAAUAAAAAAAAAACAUGGUAACGUAAGAUAUUUUCUAUGAUGACGCCGACGGGAGUGCAUCGAUUUUCUGAUAAUCCCGCGGGAUAGCGUCAGAAGCGGCAGCGCGAGACUGAAGCGUGUGCGCCGCCCGACCUCCAGGAAUAACCAAGACCUGGCAAGCAGCCAAUCAUAUGGAUGCGUGAUCGUAUCUCCCAUUCAUAAACCGAAUGUUUUAAAUAUACUUUGGAGCCUGUUCGGAAAUUAACUGUUUAUUGUAGGUAAGUCCUAAAUUUUGGGAAUUUAAAAGGUGAAAUUUUCGGUUCUAAAAUCUUAUAGAGCACAUAAUGAUUUCAAUACAUAUAACAUACCAGUUAGAGUAGCGACGUUGCGAGUUGUACGCGGUGCUAGCGAGGGCGCGCGGUCCACAUCCUGAAGGGCCGCCAGCUUGACGAGCUGCCCUAUAAAAAAGGCCAUUAACCGCUUAAACAAAUAAACAAUGCGCUUUAACAGCUAAAACAACCAAAAACAAGUGUUGAGCGUGACAUUGAGAUCUAUAGUGGAUAAUCUAAUCGUGAAUUUUCAGCUUUGGCAGAUAAUAAAAGCAAGCAUUUAUUAUGUAUUUUUCCACGUUGAUAAAUAGAAAGUGAUUUGAUUUUUCGGUGUGACGUUCAAAUAAACAGUAGCGACUUACAAUUUCAGUUUCACACUCUAGUCAGCGACUGGUUACAUUUGUGAAGAAAACCUGCAAGAACAGUGAAGAUAAGUACAAGUUGCAAUGUUUGCAUAAUGUUUAACUCAAGAGUAUUUUUAGCGGAUAUCUAUUGGGGAGACAAGCUAUAAUACUAACCAACGUCAUUUUGGUGAUAUAACGUUUAUGCCAAAUUAGAUGAGCAUGUUCUGAUCUUAAGAGAUCUUUUCGAUCUUUCGAUCAUUUUAAGCAUUCGGUACGACGUUAAUAAAAAUGAUGGAUAACAAUUAUUAGGACAAAUGACUUUCGCCAAAGUUGAUGCAAAAAUUCGGUGUUUCAUAUUACAGUUUACUUGAAUUUCAUUCUUUCUAACUCAAAUCAGCUAGUUCAACUACAGUGCACAUACAUAUUGGCGUAAACACCCGAUUGGAUUUUCGAAAGCACAAAAAAUUUACCGGCGUAAACACCCGAUUGGAUUUUCGAAAGCACAAAAAAUUUACCAAGAUUAAUAAUCAAAUUAUGUAAGUGUAAUGCAAAUUUUUUGUUGCGAGCGGUACAUUGCUACUAGUUCACAAUCACUUUGAUUUACUAGAAGAACAUGUAUUUAUGAUACGUUUAAAAAUAUAUUUUCUAUAGCUAUUAGGAUUUUAGUUUAUCAUUUGUGAUUCGAAAAGGGUAUCUUUAUACUUACAAGUAAAUGAAAUAAAUUGUACUGUAGACAUUAACGGUGUUUUUAGACUGGUAAAAAACGGUAUUUAAAUCUACUAAAUUUACACUUUCCCGUUUUAUUCUCAUUAAAAGGUAUGCUGCACCAUUCUUUAAAUAAGACUAAAUCUCAAUUAUAAACUACUCAAAUCAAGGUUUCAAACACUUAAGCCAGCCAAACACUUUGGAACCUCCUCCAAAAUCUCUGCACUAGGAAAUUGGGCUCCUUUUUUUGGGCUUACCUAUCACACACUUCAAGUUAUACUAAGACUUUAGUUCUAGUUUUACUUUUGUCUUUACACUAUUUUGCAAUUAUUUAUAUACAUAUUUUGUAAUUUUAAACAGCUGUGUUUAUUAUCUAGGAUUUUAAAAUUAAUUAAUUUAAAUUUUAAGCCAGCUCAUAGGAGAUUAAGCUAAAAUUUUUAUGAUUAUCUAUAUUUUUUCAUUAUCAAUUGAUUUCCUUAUUGAUCUACUGUCUAGUUACAGGAGUUGUAUAUGCUACUUAUUGGUAAAUACAUAUGCACCUUGUAUUGUGCCAUUCCAGAAAAAGAAAAUAAGUAGUGGUUCAGGUAUUUUCUGACAUAAGUAAUAAUAAAAAAAAAUGUAAUGAAAUUCCAGAAACUUUUUUAACAGCAAGUAUUUAAGACUAAGGCAUAUUGUAAGCCUCUGACAUUGAUAAUGCUAUGUGCAACUGUAAUCAGUCACCAUCAGAUGGGUCAUAUAGACUGAAGAAAGUGGAAUUGUCGUAAGUUGGAGAAACCGACUUAAAGCCAGAGCCAUAUAAUAUAUAGCCAUUUAAUAACAUAUACAUAUAAUGUAAUAUGGUAAAAAGUGUUUUAGCUCAAAAUGCAAGUUACAACAUUUUCGCUUUCUCCCGUCUACAUAUUCAUCUGGUGACAAGGUCAAAAACAAAUCUCCCACAGAGACAGCUAUCGCCAUCCUGUCUAUUUCUGAUGUGAAGCAGUCAUGACAUAUCUUAGUUUGUGUGGAGAAGCCCUUGUACAAUACAAUAAUCUUCAACAUCCUGUUCAGAAAAUUGAUGGCAUGCAUAUUGGGAUGUAUAUGAACUCUGGAAAAUCCAUACACCUUACACUACUUGCACUUACAUCCUUACAUUGUCCUACACAGGUAAUAAAAGAAAAUUUAUAUCUACAUUUCGGUUACUACGUGAAAUCAUAGGGAAUAUUACCAAAUUUCACUUUAGAUUCUUUAGUUCCUAAAAUACCAACCUAAUAAACUUAGUAAAUGAAGA